CUACGGGCGGCUCCAGUAGGGAAUAUUGCGCAAUGGGGGAAACCCUGACGCAGCAAUGCCGCGUGAGUGAGGAAGGUCUUCGGAUUGUAAAGCUCUGUCUUAAGGGAAAAAUGAAAUUUAUAGAAAUAUAAGUAAGUGAUGGUACCUUAAAAGAAAGCACCGGCUAACUUCGUGCCAGCAGCCGCGGUAAUACGAAGGGUGCAAGCGUUGUUCGGAUUUAUUGGGCGUAAAGGGCGCGUAGGCGGAUAAUUAAGUCAGGUGUGAAAUCUCGGGGCUCAACCCCGAAACUGCGCCUGAAACUGAUAAUCUAGAAUCUCAAAGAGGGAAGGGGAAUUUCGCAUGUAGGAGUAAAAUCCGUAGAGAUGCGAAGGAACACCGGAGGCGAAGGCGCCUUCCUGGUUGAGUAUUGACGCUGAGGCGCGAAAGCGUGGGGAGCAAACAGGAUUAGAUACCCUCGUAGUC
rnacentral:rRNA from 1 species